rnacentral:rRNA from 1 species
AGUGAACGCUGGCGGUAGGCCUAACACAUGCAAGUCGAACGGCAGCACAGUAAGAGCUUGCUCUUACGGGUGGCGAGUGGCGGACGGGUGAGGAAUACAUCGGAAUCUACUUUUUCGUGGGGGAUAACGUAGGGAAACUUACGCUAAUACCGCAUACGACCUACGGGUGAAAGCAGGGGAUCUUCGGACCUUGCGCGAUUGAAUGAGCCGAUGUCGGAUUAGCUAGUUGGCGGGGUAAAGGCCCACCAAGGCGACGAUCCGUAGCUGGUCUGAGAGGAUGAUCGGCCACACUGGAGCUGAGACACGGUCCAGACUCCUACGGGAGGCAGCAGUGGGGAAUAUUGGACAAUGGGCGCAAGCCUGAUCCAGCCAUACCGCGUGGGUGAAGAAGGCCUUCGGGUUGUAAAGCCCUUUUGUUGGGAAAGAAAAGCAGCAGGUUAAUACCCCGCUGUUCUGGCGGUACCCAAAGAAUAAGCACCGGCUAACUUCGUG